rnacentral:rRNA from 1 species
UACGGGGGGGGCAAGCGUUGUUCGGAAUUACUGGGCGUAAAGGGCUCGUAGGUGGCCAACUAAGUCAGACGUGAAAUCCCUCGGCUUAACCGGGGAACUGCGUCUGAUACUGGAUGGCUUGAGUUUGGGAGAGGGACGCGGAAUUCCAGGUGUAGCGGUGAAAUGCGUAGAUAUCUGGAGGAACACCGGUGGCGAAGGCGGCGUCCUGGACCAACACUGGCGCUGAGGCGCGAAAGCUAGGGGAGCAAACGGG